rnacentral:rRNA from 1 species
AUUGAACGCUGGCGGCAGGCCUAACACAUGCAAGUCGAGCGGAGCGGCGGACGGGUGAGUAAUGCCUAGGAAUCUGCCUGGUAGUGGGGGAUAACGUCCGGAAACGGGCGCUAAUACCGCAUACUAUCAGAUGAGCCUAGGUGGGAUUAGCUAGUGGGUGGGGUAAAGGCUUACCAAGGCGACGAUCCGUAACUGGUCUGAGAGGAUGAUCAGCCACACUGGAACUGAGACACGGCCCAGACUCCUACGGGAGGCAGCAGUGGGGAAUAUUGCACAAUGGGCGAAAGCCUGAUGCAGCCAUGCCGCGUGUGUGAAGAAGGCCUUCGGAUUGUAAAGUACUUUAAGUGGGGAGGCGUUACCCGCAGAAUAAGCACCGGCUAACUCCGUGCCAGCAGCCGCGGUAAUAC